AAUUGAUAAAACAAGUCAACACCAAACAGAGGCAAUCUCUAUAAAACCACCAAACUGAAUUGCAUGUGGUACAUGAUCUCUGCAGCAUCUUACAAUGAGUGGGAUCAUUAGAGGAGCCGUCCUGCUUCAUAUUCUCUGUUUCUGGACACAGAGCUGUGUGGAUGCCAUAGAUCCUAACGUCAUGGCAAGCAUCAUACGUGAUAUCAGAGCUGUGGCCAACAUAAAUAAUCAAUAUUCUUUUGCUGUUGUUUUACCACAACAUGAAUGCAACCACCAAGGGGCACAUGACUUUGUUGACGAUCCUGGGCAAAUUUAUCAGCAGCUCAAUACAGGUCAAAAUAUUUAUGUGGGUCAAAGGGUAAUUGCAGCCAGGCCUUUGUUUAGAGUUCAAGGACCCACUGACCAUUCUGAGUAUCGCUUACUGGUAACUGAUAAUCUGGGACAUAGUCUCAUGAGUGAGUUAAUAAACAGAUGGCAAUUAGAGGCAUCUUGCACUGUUUUCUUCACUCUGAACUCACCAUGUGGAACAAAAUGUGCAGACCCAGGACACCGUUUCAGAAUUUUACAAUAUCUAAAUGUUUUUACAAAUCUAGAUCACAACUGGGUUGCUUUUGUGUUUCAGGACCUGUUUCAUUAUGACAGGAAAACAAAUAGGAAGCAAAUGUUACAAAUACUUAAAAAUAUCAAUAUCUAUGGGGGAAAUGUCCCUGUAUACCGUUGCCCCCUUGGAAGGAAUACUUGUUAUGACUGCAUGGCUGAAGAUGACCCAGCAAAAAACCCAUGUCUUUUUGACAUGCCAAAGCACAAAUAUUAAAAAGUGUCACAGCAUUAAGAUAUCACAUGAUGUCAAGAAUUGGGUGGCUAAAUGCUCUGCUGAUGUAUCUUCAGUUCAGACUGAAUCCUGUCAUGAAUGUAUCUCACAGCAAUGUCAGAUACACAGAAAUUAAAAUAACUGUUUUGCCUUUCUUGUUACCUUUUUCUAAUUGCUCCAUUAUAUCUGUCAAGCUUGCAUUGAAAAAAUAAAGCACAUGAAUGU